CCUUACUGCUAUCGGGAUAAGAUUAAGCCAUGCGAGUUGAGCGCUCUCUAGCUAUGUUGAGAGAGCAGCAAACGGCUCAGUAACACGUAGUUAACCUACCCUCAGGACAGGGAUACCCCCGGGAAACUGGGGACAAUACCUGAUAGGCGGAAACGCCUGGAAUGGUCUUCCACUGAAAGGGUGUUGAAAACAUGCUUUCAACACUGCCUGAGGAUGGGACUGCGACCGAUCAGGUUGUUGGUGGGGUAACGGCCCACCAAGCCGAUAACCGGUACGGGCCCUGAGAGGGGAAGCCCGGAGAUGGGAACUGAGACAAGGUCCCAGGUCCUACGGGACGCAGCAGGCGCGAAACCUCCACAAUGCACGAAAGUGUGAUGGGGUUAUCCCGAGUGCUGUCCGAUGAGGAUGGCUUUUCCUCGGUGUAAAAAGCCGAGGGAAUAAAGGGGGGGCAAGACUGGUGUCAGCCGCCGCGGUAAUACCAGCUCCCUGAGUGGUAGGGAUGAUUAUUUGGCCUAAAGCGUUCGUAGCCGGCUUGGUCAGUCUUUCGUUAAAUCCAACGACUCAAUCGUUGGUCUGCGGAANAUACUGCCAGGCUAGAGGACGGGAGAGGUUGACGGUAGUCCCGGGGUANGGGUGAAA
rnacentral:rRNA from 1 species